rnacentral:rRNA from 1 species
GACGAACGCUGGUGGCGCGCCUAAUACAUGCAAGUCGAGCGGACCAAUAGAAGCUUGCUUCUGUUGGUUAGCGGCGGACGGGUGAGUAACACGUGGGCAACCUGCCUGUAAGACUGGGAUAACUUCGGGAAACCGGAGCUAAUACCGGAUAAUUCAUCCCCUCGCAUGAGGGGAUGCUGAAAGUCGGUUUACGCUGACACUUACAGAUGGGCCAGAGGCGCAUUAGCUAGUUGGUGAGGUAAUGGCUAACCAAGGCGACGAUGCGUAGCCGACCUGAGAGGGUGAUCGGCCACACUGGGACUGAGACACGGCCCAGACUCCUACGGGAGGCAGCAGUAGGGAAUCUUCCACAAUGGACGAAAGUCUGAUGGAGCAACGCCGCGUGAGCGAUGAAGGCCUUCGGGUCGUAAAGCCCUGUUGUUAGGGAAGAACAAGUAUCGGAGUAACUGCCGGUACCUUGACGGUACCUAACCAGAAAGCCACGGCUAACUACGUGCCAGCCGCCGCGGUAA